GGCUCAUGGCUCAGAUGGUUAAAGUGCCUGUCUAGUAAUCAGGAGAUCCUGGGUUUGAGUCCCAGCGGUGCCU